rnacentral:rRNA from 1 species
AAAGCACUUUUGUCCGGAAAGAAAACUUCUGCCCUAAUACGGUGGGAGGAUGACGGUACCGGAAGAAUAAGCACCGGCUAACUACGUGCCAGCAGCCGCGGUAAUACGUAGGGUGCGAGCGUUAAUCGGAAUUACUGGGCGUAAAGCGUGCGCAGGCGGUUCGUUAAGACAGAUGUGAAAUCCCCGGGCUUAACCUGGGAACUGCAUUUGUGACUGGCGAGCUAGAGUAUGGCAGAGGGGGGUAGAAUUCCACGUGUAGCAGUGAAAUGCGUAGAGAUGUGGAGGAAUACCGAUGGCGAAGGCAGCCCCCUGGGCCAAUACUGACGCUCAUGCGCGAAAGCGUGGGGAGCAAACAGGAUUAGAUACCCUGGUAGUCCACGCCCUAAACGAUGUCAACUAGUUGUUGGGUCUUCAUUGACUUAGUAACGUAGCUAACGCGUGAAGUUGACCGCCUGGGGAGUACGGUCGCAAGAUUAAAACUCAAAUGAAUUGACGG